rnacentral:piRNA from 1 species
UGACUACUUUGCCUGCCAACUCCAUUUGGAAU